CUUUUGCAACAUCAUUGACACACCAAUUCUCCAGUAAAUUUUUCAAAAUGGCUUCUGCAAAAAUCUUCUGUCUUGUGCUUUUUCUGAUGAUCAUGUUAUCAUCAGGUCAAGAAGCAGAGGAGGGAAUAAAAUGUUGCAAGGAUAAUCGAUCUCCUAACUGCAAAAAUGAAGAAUGCAACCCAAAAUGCCAAGCUGCAAGCUGCAGAGGAGGAGAAUGCAAAAUUAGGGAUGCAAUGCAUUAUUGUCAUUGUUACUGUUAAUUAGGUCACUCGUCACCAUGCCAGUGUUUUUGGGUCUCUCCAUAUAUAUCCGAUAAUAAAAGCACAUCUAUGUGUAUGCAUAUAGCAUAUAGUUUCCUAUAAAGGUCUAUCUAUAUCAACUAUUCAACCUUUUGCCCCAUAUCUCA